UGCCCCCUGGCUUAGUUGGUCAAAGCGUCCGACUGUUACCUGAUGAUUUGUGCGACGUGCCCGCGUUGUACGAGUCGUCUGGCCAAUAUCGGAAGGUCGUGAGUUCGAGCCUCACGGGGGCAG